rnacentral:rRNA from 1 species
UACGUAGGGCGCAAGCGUUGUCCGGAAUUAUUGGGCGUAAAGAGCUCGUAGGUGGUUUGUCGCGUCUGUCGUGAAAGCCCGGGGCUUAACCCCGGGUCUGCAUUCGAUACGGGCAGGCUAGAGUUCGGUAGGGGAGAUCGGAAUUCCUGGUGUAGCGGUGAAAAUGCGCAGAUAUCAGGAGGAACACCGGUGGCGAAGGCGGAUCUCUGGGCCGAUACUGACGCUGAGGAGCGAAAGCGUGGGGAGCGAACAGG